CACAAGGCGGCAGGGGUGAAAGGGGUACCAGCACCAAUACUGUACCCUGCUGAUGGAAAAUUAGGUUUAACAGUCCUCAGAUGUUGUACAGGUAGGUGAACACCCGCUCCCAUCUCUGUUACAUUACUUCAUGACCUAGAAACUUCACUUUUUCAAGGACAGAUGACAGUUUUACUCUUCUUGCAUCAGUAUGCAUCAUCAUCAUUUCUGUAUCUUUCUAUAGGGUACUCUCUGCCUUGAGUGCAACCUGAACUCAGUAUACAAAUACUAGAGUUAUAGAGAUCAAGAAGUGAGUUUUAAUUUUCAACCUUUGGAUCUAGUUCUAGGAAUUGAGAAGAAAGAUCCCAAAACAUUUGAGGAAAGUGACCCUCCUUUCAGAAUUUGGCUUUAUUCCAGCAGUGAACUCUUCCAGGUCUACUUUGCUUGAGGGAAACAGGCAGAUUAAACGGGAAGGUGCAACAAAUACCAAAGGGACCACUUCUUUCCAAGUGUGCUCAGAGUUCAGUGUGUAGAACAGCUGCAGAAACUCCUGGGCCCCUGCUGCACUGCAUGGUUUCACCUUUCAUAGCAGGGAAGGACACGUUUCUAUGCCUUACAGAGACUUGAAACCUGAAAUCCUGGCCAAGUUUGGGAAGAAGAGGAGCCCUCUCAGAGCUCAAGAGCCUUCCUGCUCUUUGGAACAUUUCCACAGCGGGUCAAGCCUGACAAGAGUUCAACUCAAGUUGAAAACACACACACGCACACACACAAAUUAUGUGAUCAGUCAGAAUCUAUGUUACACAGCUCAAGCCAUCUACAAGGUUUUUACAUGCAAGGGCAAACACUUCAAUCCAGAAGUUUUUUUUUAUUAUUAUUUUUUAAUGAAAAGUUUAGGAAACACACAUAUCUUUUAGUUUUUAAUGUUUUUUAAAACAAAGUUUAUUCUUGGCACAUGGCUUUCUAUACAGCCAUAUCACAAUUUAUACAGUUGCACAUGGAUCUAAAUGCAUUCCCCUCUCCCUGGAGAUUGUGCCCCUGAAUAAGACAGUAUCUCUUUAACAAUAUCUUAAAUAAAUGCAAGGAAGGGAAACUAAUGGGCACACCUACCAUCACACCUACACAUUUUGAGAAUUAAAUAAUCGUGUGAGGCCCACAAUGUCCACUCAUUUAUUCAGUUCAAUACACGGUUUGUAUGAGCUGCCCUAAUGGAGAAGGAGGAGGUAAAGAGGGUGGGAAAAGGUCUGUUUUCCUCUUGCAACAAAUAUACAAAUACAUUGUCUCCAGUCAGUAUGUUAUGUCCAGCUGACUUCAGACAUCUUAAAUAUAUGCGAUACCAAGUAGUUCUUCUCAGGUAUACAAACCCAGGCCAGCAGGUUGUGCCACCAAGCAGCAACCUGGACAAGUGUCCUCUCUAGGGUGGCAAUCAGCACACACUCUUCCUGGGAAUAAUGUCUUCUUUUUUGGUUAUCCUUUUCACCAAGUUGGGCUUUGUUUUGGUGUCUGUUAUGAACCAGAUGGGGAGAGAGGGAUGGAGAAAUGGGCAGGAGCAGAGAGAAGAAAAACAGGUAAGGGACGCACAAGAAACUGACUAGGUCUCUAGAACAUUAUAUGGAAGAGGGAAUGGGUGUGGAGGAACCA